GACGAACGCUGGCGGCGUGCUUAACACAUGCAAGUCGAACGGAAAGGCCCCUUUUGGGGUACUCGAGUGGCGAACGGGUGGGUAACACGUGCGUAACCUGCCCUUGACUUCGGGAUAACUUCCGUAAACUGGGGCUAAUACCGGCUAGGAAUGCUUUCUUCAUGGUGGGGGUGGGAAAGCUUCGGUGGUUUUGGGUUGACUCGCGGGUUGUCAGCUUGUUGGUGGGGUAGUGGCUUACCAAGGCAUUGGCGGGUAGCCGGCCGGCGAGGGCGAGCGGCCACAGUGGGACUGAGAUACGGCCCAGACCCCUACGGGAGGCAGCCGGGGGGAAUAUUGCACCAUGGGCGGGAGCCUGAUGCAGCAAAGCCGCGGGCGGGAUGACGGCCUUCGGGUUGGAAACCGCUUUCAGCAUGGGCGAAGCCUGUAGUGACGGUACCUGCAGAAGAAGCACCGGCUAACUACGUG
rnacentral:rRNA from 1 species